rnacentral:lncRNA from 1 species
GAAGAGAUUUGCCCACCCUUUGGUUACUUCAUUGGUCCCCUCCUCUGGUUCUGUCACUGGUGUUUGAGAUAGGUUCUGCAUGUGGUCGAUUCCACCAUUUCCUUGUACCAUCUGGGGUUGAGGAAGCAAAGAAACUUCAUCUGCUUCUAAUACCUCAUCUGAUUGUGUCAAUGGAACAGUGAUAGUCAAUGGAACAGUAUCAGCUACUGGAGCAGUAUCAAUGGGUUUAUUUACACUGGC